GCAGGCCGCGCGUCCUGCCCGAGCCCCCGCUGCACGCGCCAUCCCCACAGCGCCCGCGCCGCGCGCGAGAGCCGCACGGGCAGCGCAGCAGCGCCCUUCGCCGCGAGCGCCGCCAUCUUGCUCGCGCCCCGCCCCGUCCCGCCCCGCCCCGCCCCGCCGCCGACGCGGGCGCCGCAUCGCUCCUGAGGCACGCCGGGAAAUGGAGUGCGCGGUCUUUCCGAGCGCCGCUUCCCGUGCCGAGAAUCUGCCUCGGUCAGAAAGCCGCUCCCAGUGCGUUCGUGUGAGCGCUGCUCGUGGAGCGGGGAGCCAGAACUGAGGUGGAGGUGCGAGUUGGCGUUCCUGUCGGAGCCGGGGCGUCGGGCGGGAAUGGCUCGGAGCAGGGCUGCGGGCGGCAGGUGUCCGCUCGGCUGCGACGCGGAGCGGCAGAGCGCGGAGCUGAGCGCGCGUUGUGCGUUCCCGCCCAGUCAGCCAGGAGGCGGCGGGCGGCGCCUGGCAGAAGGAGUAAUGUGGGGUGAUCUACCCAAAAUGAAGAGCGUCCCGUGACUCUCUCUGAUAAUCCGGCGUUUAUGGGAUGACAGAUUUUCCGUGCGACCCGUAAAUUGGAACAAGUCCAAAGGACGCCACGGGUGCUGUUGCCUGAGGAGCGGCACUGCGCGGUGCAUCCUUCUCAGGUUAUUGAGCUGAAUGAAGUCACAGAGGGGUCUAAUGAAUGCCAGAGCCUCUGAGGAGAAAAGAAUGGAAGCUGAAUCUUCUCAUUUCAUUAGCAGCAAGUCUCCAGAUGGUGUCAUGGUGUUUCAGACCAAAAGGAGGUGCUUUCAAAUACACAGCCUUUAAUCUGGAGGAAAUAUAUGUCCAGUCAUUGCAUCUACAGUGGCUAAUGUUGCUGCUUACAGGUAACAGCUUUUUUAACUCAUUUGAACCUUUUCAGCCACUUCUUUCACUUCUAAUAUGUCCUAGCUAAAUUGCACCUUUUAUAUCCUUGCUUCUGCUUGUAUAUCUUUGUGCCACUGAGGAUAUGUAACUAUUAGCCAAUAAAUUAACAUUACUUCUGCA
rnacentral:lncRNA from 1 species